rnacentral:rRNA from 1 species
AGUAACGGCGAGUGAAGCGGCAACAGCUCAAAUUUGAAAUCUGGCCCCUCUCGGGGUCCGAGUUGUAAUUUGUAGAGGAUGCUUUUGGCGAGGCGCCGCCCGAGUUCCCUGGAACGGGACGCCACAGAGGGUGAGAGCCCCGUCUGGCUGGCCGCCGAGCCUCUGUAAAGCUCCUUCGACGAGUCGAGUAGUUUGGGAAUGCUGCUCAAAAUGGGAGGUAUAUGUCUUCUAAAGCUAAAUACUGGCCAGAGACCGAUAGCGCACAAGUAGAGUGAUCGAAAGAUGAAAAGCACCUUGAAAAGAGGGUUAAAUAGUACGUGAAAUUGUUGAAAGGGAAGCGCUUGCGACCAGACUUGGGCGCGGCGGAUCAUCCGGGGUUCUCCCCGGUGCACUUCGCCGCGUCCAGGCCAGCAUCAGUUCGUCGCGGGGGAUAAAGGCUUCGGGAACGUGGCUCCCCCGGGAGUGUUAUAGCCCGUCGCACAAUACCCUGCGGUGGACUGAGGACCGCGCAUCUGCAAGGAUGCUGGCGUAAUGGUCACCAGCGACCCGUCUUGAAACACGGACCAAGGAGUCGUCUUCGUAUGCGAGUGUUCGGGUGUCAAACCCCUACGCGUAAUGAAAGUGAACGCAGGUGAGAGCUUCGGCGCAUCAUCGACCGAUCCUGAUGUUCUCGGAUGGAUUUGAGUAAGAGCAUACGGGGCCGGACCCGAAAGAAGGUGAACUAUGCCUGUAUAGGGUGAAGCCAGAGGAAACUCUGGUGGAGGCUCGCAGCGGUUCUGACGUGCAAAUCGAUCGUCAAAUAUGGGCAUGGGGGCGAAAGACUAAUCGAACCUUCUAGUAGCUGGUUUCCGCCGAAGUU